rnacentral:rRNA from 1 species
AGCGAACGCUGGCGGCAGGCCUAACACAUGCAAGUCAAACGGACCCUUCGGGGUUAGUGGCGGACGGGUGAGUAACACGUGGGAACGUGCCUUUAGGUUCGGAAUAGCUCCUGGAAACGGGUGGUAAUGCCGAAUGUGCCCUUCGGGGGAAAGAUUUAUCGCCUUUAGAGCGGCCCGCGUCUGAUUAGCUAGUUGGUGGGGUAAUGGCCCACCAAGGCUACGAUCAGUAGCUGGUCUGAGAGGAUGACCAGCCACAUUGGGACUGAGACACGGCCCAAACUCCUACGGGAGGCAGCAGUGGGGAAUCUUGCGCAAUGGGCGAAAGCCUGACGCAGCCAUGCCGCGUGUAUGAUGAAGGUCUUAGGACUGUAAAAUACUUUCACCGGUGAAGAUAAUGACUGUAGCCGGAGAAGAAGCCCCGGCUAACUUCGUGCCAGCCGCCGCAGUAAUAC